rnacentral:sRNA from 1 species
UCUGGGCGAGGUGGCGCAUGCCUGUAAUUCCCAGCAGCUUGGGAAGCUGAGGCAGGAGGAUCUCAAGUUCAAAGCCAACCUCAGCAACUUUGUGAGUCCCUGUCUCUA